rnacentral:rRNA from 1 species
AUUGAACGCUGGCGGCAGGCCUAACACAUGCAAGUCGAGCGGUAACACAAGGGAGCUUGCUCCUGAGGUGACGAGCGGCGGACGGGUGAGUAAUGCCUAGGUAUCUGCCCAGUCGAGGGGGAUAACAGUUGGAAACGACUGCUAAUACCGCAUACGCCCGUACGGGGGAAAGGAGGGACCUUCGGGCCUUCCGCGAUUGGAUGAACCUAGGUGGGAUUAGCUAGUUGGUGAGGUAAUGGCGUCGACCAAGGCGACGAUCCCUAGCUGGUCUGAGAGGAUGAUCAGCCACACUGGAACUGAGACACGGUCCAGACGUCCUACGGGAGGCAGCGAGUUGGGGAAUAUUGGCACAAUGGGCGAAAGCCUGAUGCAGCCAUGCCGCGUGUGUG